CUAUUUUAGAGCCUGCCAUAUUCAGUAAUGUUGAUCUAUUUCUUAUGCCUCUCCCUGUAAUAACUAGUUGCCGUAGUUACCUCAUGUAUCUAAGGCAACCAGAUGUUACAGACGGAGGCACUGAAAUAGCAUCAACAAGUACAAAAAUUAAAUGGUUCAACUAUUUUGCCUGAGUUAAGCCACUCAGGGCUCCUUCCUUCUUGGCUCUGGAAUUUGUCACUUCCUCUGAUCACACCUGCUGGCCUGUUCCCACCUUUCUGCUGCAGCUGUUUGGAACUGUAGACAUCCCAGUGUCUGGGAUGGACAGGAGUGAUUCCACACUCCCCUUCCCCCAGGACUGAUGGUCAUUGGACAGCUUGACUUUUCUAUUAAGGACAUAUUUCUGGGCUCACAACAUAUUGAAAAUGUGGCAGUGGGGGAGCAAGGGGUAUUUACAGUUAGGGCAGACCUGGAAGCAAUGACCUGAUUUUAUUCAGUUUGGGAAAAAUCUCCUCACAGAAUGAGGAGGAUUUAUCUCAUUAUUGGUUAGGGGUUUUUUUAAGAAGACAAUGCUUGCAAGACUCUCAGGUGAUUUCUAAGUACUGCCCCAUGAAGAACCACUGGCUUCUAAGACAUCAACAGUGGUGCAGUGGUGCUGUUUUCAUGCCAAGUUGGUCAAACUCAAAAUAUUAAGUGGCUGAUCCCUGUUUCCACCUUACUAGGGAGCUCACUGAGCUCUCAAAGAGAAAAGUAAAUUGUUUCUUACAUAUAAUUAUUUUCCUUAAUAAAGUUGCAGCUGCUCCAAGUCGCCCAAAGAGUUGGAUGUCUGGAAUGAGUCUUCCUUCAGGUGCAGUGCAACACAUGGGGAAUUGGAAAUACAGCAUUGAAAAGGCAGAAAGCACAAAGUUCUGGAAGAAAUAAGAAUGGCAGUGCAUGCACAUGUUGAAAAUCCAAAUCCCUGUUGGAGGAUAACUGCCCUGGGGUACCUGGCCCAAGCCCAGUGUCUUAGACAGCCGAAGGCUUUCCACGAGAAAAUUCCUGUGGGUUUCUGUGAAGAACCCACCUCCCGUUGCCACCAGCCCCACCACCCAGUCAGAACAUAGACCCGAGGCAAAACCACGGCCUUGCUCCCCCUGCCAGAGAAAUCCUGCUUCACUCCCCGGCUGGAAGCUGAAAUAUGUGCUUCCCGUGCGUGGCUCGAGCUCCUCAGGAAAACUUCAGCUACAUCCAAAUUAAUAACUGAACACAAGCAUCCCAGCCUAAGACCGGGCUUACUGUGGGAACGACUGGAUGCUGGCAGCGAUAUUGGCUGCGGCGGGAGGUGAGCACGGCCAAGCUAAACAACCGCCGUCUGCUCCCAUGUCCUCCUCCUCCUCCUCCUUGUGAGCGGCAGCCCUUCACUGCUCACCAUGAGGCCGGGAUUGGGGAAUCCUGGUCAUUGGCCCUGCUAGCCAAGAGGUGAGGGAGCCCUUUCCACACCUGGACUUUGGGAUCUAAAAACACGGGAUACUCAAUGCACCUGGCUGCGUGCACUAUAAACCACUUUCACCUUCUUACUCGAGCUGUGGGAAUUUGCAUGCAAAAAGCCCCAUUAGGCCCCAUCAAAGGAUAUUUAGGUUGCUGGUGUUGAAUUACCAGAAGCAGGCAGUUUAGUUCUGAGUAGAAAGUGUUUCCCACUUAAAAGUGAAACGGUGUCAUGGGAAGGUUUCCCUCACCUGUAAAUAACAGUUGUACAGCUUUGCUUGCUGGGUCUUCACCGCAAUGUUAAAAUUUAAUUUCUGUAAUGACAGGAGAUUGAGUUUCAGGAAAGGUAAAAUUUCAUCCUGGUUUUCUUUUUUUUUCAGUGUUAAAUAUUUUUACACAAGGUGUUGACCAUCAUUUAUGGAUGUAUUGUUUCACCAUUACCAAGUGAAAUAAAUUUGGUUUAUGCUACA
rnacentral:lncRNA from 1 species